rnacentral:snRNA from 1 species
GGAUGCCAGGGCAAUCUGACCGUGAUAUCUGUCACCUAUUGAUUGCUAAGGUGCUUUGACUCCUCAGGAUGGCUUGGUGCAUGCCCCUUCCUCCCUCAUUGCUCCAUCUGUAGCUCCCAUGAUGCUGCUCCCUUGGCUGAAGAGGAUGCCCCUCCUGCAGAGAAGGAGGAGCAUCCUUUGUUCAGAGCUCUGUGAGUAGCUGCACUCCCUUGCUAGAACCUCCAAAACAAACACACACAAAAGCAUGGUUGGUGGGAAUGCUAAAUGGUGUAAAUGUGAAAAUCAUCUUGCCAAUUUCUCAGAGGUAAAGAGAAUUGCCACCUGA